rnacentral:rRNA from 1 species
UACGUAGGUGGCAAGCGUUGUCCGGAUUUACUGGGUGUAAAGGGAGCGCAGGCGGGAAGGCAAGUCAGCUGUGAAAUACAUGGGCUUAACCCAUGGACUGCAGUUGAAACUGUCAUUCUUGAGUGAAGUAGAGGUAGGCGGAAUUCCGAGUGUAGCGGUGAAAUGCGUAGAUAUUCGGAGGAACACCAGUGGCGAAGGCGGCCUACUGGGCUUUAACUGACGCUGAGGCUCGAAAGUGUGGGGAGCAAACAGGAUUAGAUACCCUGGUAGUCCACACUGUAAACGAUGAUUGCUAGGUGUGGGGGGUCUGACCCCUUCCGUGCCGGAGUUAACGCAAUAAGCAAUCCACCUGGGGAGUACGGCCGCAAGGCUGAA